rnacentral:rRNA from 1 species
AUGAAGAGCAUUUCUUCAUUCUCCCUGCUUGUCCUCUGCCUCGCUGCACUGCAGCUGCACGCCAAUGCCUCCCACUCCCCGUCCCAGGAGGCUCAGCUCAAAAAGUUCAUCUCGUCUAGGAAGAACCGCGCCAGCAGCACCGACACGUUCCGAGUGCGUAACAUAGCUGACAGGGUUGCCGGCAGCCUGAGUGCGGACAGCACUCUUUCUGACCAGAGCUCCAUGAAGGCCGCCGACAAGAUCACGGCCUUGCCCGGGCAGCCGGAGGGCGUCGACUUCGACCAGUACGGCGGGUACGUCACCGUCGAUGCGGAGAACGGCCGCGCGCUCUUCUACUACCUUGUCGAAUCGCCUUCCGGUGCCUCGGACAAGCCACUCGUCCUGUGGCUCAACGGAGGGCCGGGAUGCUCGUCGCUCGGAUUCGGCGCAAUGCAGGAGCUCGGCCCGUUCCGCGUAACCGAGGACAACAAAACGCUCAGCAGAAACAUGAACGCAUGGAACAACGUGGCUAACGUGAUCUUCCUCGAGUCGCCCGCCGGAGUGGGUUAUUCCUACUCGAACACGUCUUCUGACUAUGAUCUCAGCGGAGACGAGAGAACAGCCGAUGACGCCUACGUGUUUCUGGUGAAAUGGCUGGAGAGGUUCCCGGAGUACAAGGACCGGGCCUUCUAUAUCUCAGGGGAGAGCUACGCCGGACACUACGUGCCGGAGCUUGCCGCCACCAUCCUACUCCACAACACAUACAACAACAGAACCGUCAUAAACCUUCAGGGCAUCUUGGUGGGAAAUCCGUACCUUGAUGCCAACAGGAAUAUUAAGGGGGCAGUUGACUACUUCUGGACCCACGCGGUGAUGUCGGACGAGGUCUAUGCCAAUAUCACCAAGAACUGCGACUUCGACAACUUGAAUGGUACAUUUACAGAUGCCGCCUGCAUGGGAGCUGCCGUGGUGUUCGACUCUGGCUACAUCGAUGGCUACAACAUAUACGCUCCGGUCUGCAUAGACGCGCCCAAUGGAAUGUAUUACCCCGCUGGCUACUUACCUGGGUAUGAUCCGUGCAGUUAUUAUCCUACGGAUGCCUACCUCAAUGAUCCAGCGGUGCAGAUAGCUUUCCACGCUAGACCGACAAAGUGGUCAGGCUGCGCAUACUUGAACUGGACAGAUGGGCCAAUGUCCAUGCUGCCAACCAUGAAAUGGUUGAUCGAAAGCAAGCUGCCGAUUUGGAUAUUCAGUGGUGAUUUUGAUUCUGUGUGCCCGCUGCCGGCGACGAGGUAUUCUAUCCAAGACAUGGCCCUCUCUGUGACCACUCCAUGGCGCCCAUGGACAGCAAAGGAGGAGGUGGGAGGCUAUGUUCAGCAGUACGCCGGGGGGUUCACAUUCCUAUCUGUGAGGGGAGCUGGCCAUAUGGUUCCAUCCUUCCAGCCUGAGAGGGCAUUGGUGAUGUUGAGCUCCUUCCUGCAAGGGGUGCUCCCACCUUACGUAGAACAGCAGUGA